rnacentral:rRNA from 14 species
UUAAGUUUUUUCCCAAGUAGCAUGAGGCACGUGGAAUCUCGUGUGAAUCUGCGAGGACCACCUCGUAAGGCUAAAUAUUCCUGAAUGACCGAUAGUGAACUAGUACCGUGAGGGAAAGGUGAAAAGAACCCCGGGAGGGGAGUGAAAUAGAACAUGAAACCUUAAGCUUACAAGCAGUAGGAGGACGACUUAUCGUUUGACUGCGUGCCUGUUGAAGAAUGAGCCGGCGACUUAUAGUUAGUGGCAGGUUAAGGUAGAGAAUACUGGAGCCACAGUGAAAGCGAGCUUUAAUAGAGCGUGUGUCACUAGUUAUAGACCCGAACCCGGAUGAUCUAACCAUGGCCAGGAUGAAAAAA